GACGAACGCUGGCGGCGUGCUUAACACAUGCAAGUCGAACGGAAAGGCCCUGCUUGCCGGGUACUCGAGUGGCGAACGGGUGAGUAACACGUGGGUGAUCUGCCCUGCACUUCGGGAUAAGCCUGGGAAACUGGGUCUAAUACCGGAUAGGAGCCAUUUUUAGUGUGAUGGUUGGAAAGUUUUUUCGGUGUAGGAUGAGCUCGCGGCCUAUCAGCUUGUUGGCGGGGUAAUGGCCUACCAAGGCGGCGACGGGUAGCCGGCCUGAGAGGGUGGACGGCCACAUUGGGACUGAGAUACGGCCCAGACGCCUACGGGAGGCAGCAGUGGGGAAUAUUGCACAAUGGGCGCAAGCCUGAUGCAGCGACGCCGCGUGGGGGAUGACGGCCUUCGGGUUGUAAACGCCUUUCGCUAGGGACGAAGCUUUUUGUGACGGUACCUAGAGAAGAAGCACCGGCUAACUACGUG
rnacentral:rRNA from 1 species